rnacentral:rRNA from 1 species
AUUGAACGCUGGCGGCAGGCCUAACACAUGCAAGUCGAACGAGUGGCGGACGGGUGAGUAAUGUCUGGGAAACUGCCCGAUGGAGGGGGAUAACUACUGGAAACGGUAGCUAAUACCGCAUACCAUCGGAUGUGCCCAGAUGGGAUUAGCUUGUAGGUGAGGUAACGGCUGACCUAGGCGACGAUCCCUAGCUUGUCUGAGAGGAUGACCAGCCACACUUGAACUGAGACAAGGUCGAGCGCGGUACGGGAGGCAGCAGUGGGGAAUAUGGAGCAAUGGGCGCAAGUCUGAUGCAGCCAUGCCGCGUGUAUGAAGAAGGCCUUCGGGUUUUAAAGUACUUUCAGCGGGGAGGAGUUACCCGCAGAAGAAGCACCGGCUAACUCCGUGCCAGCAGCCGCGGUAAUAC